UUGUUUGUGUUCUGAAAAUUGACAAUCCUUACAAAAUAACCUGGUUAGUCAGUUGUAUGGUCCUAAUGAUAGUUUACGAACUUCAACCUUUGAAGAGCUAAAAGGAAAUCUGGAAAUUGUAAGAACCUUCUCUGUUUUACCUAGAAUUGCUGCAGUAUGUUUGGUGGCGUUUUGCUGAAGAGCAUUAUUAUUUUUAUGAUUACUUGCAUUAAUCGAGAUCACUUAAAAACAUUUAGAUCAUGGAAUAAGCAUGCACUUGAUAUUUGAAUUCCUAAUUUUGUGCAACUUAAGUUGUCUCCAUUACUGAGUCCAUUUUGUUAAUUCAUUUUUUGCUCUUUUUGUCUUUUUUCCGUUCAGCUGACUGUUUCAAAUAAGGGAAGUGCUUGUGACUUGGGAAGCUCAAAUUCUAAGGUUCGCAAUUUUCACUUUAGGGUCAAGGAAAAUAACGUAGACUACUUCUACCCGGGAACUCAGACUUGAAGAGAUGUUCUGUUCAUUGAAUUUGAAUGUUGGCCAACAUAUCAAGACCGGGGGAUUAAGUAAUUGAUGUCCUAAAGCACUGGCCGAAAAUCUAAGCUAUGGAAGACCAAGAAGCGAGGAGCAAACUAUAUUUAUCGGUGAUCGAUGGCAAUUGGCAAAGCCUCCUGUCGUGGUUAUCUUGCUAGAAAGACAUUUAAAACUUAGUAGAAAACAAAUUUUACCUUGCAGUUUUGCCCUUCUUGUCCUUGUAUGCUGAUGCCCCCAUUCAAGUUUAGAGAGUUACUCCUGAGGUUUAUUGAUAUAGGAAUUCAGUUGCUUUCUGUUAUGUUGAACUGCCUCUUUUCUUACUUCACUAGUUGGAGUAGCCAGUUAUGUUGAUAAUUUAAAAUUAAUUGAAACCCCAUGAUUUUAUUAUAUA